GAUUCGGUAUAUAAAGAAGAUCACAUUCUGCGUCAAGUGCACUUCCUAAAAAUCAAUUUAGAAAGCAAUUUUCAACGUCAUGAAGUUCCUCUCGAUUUUCGUGGUCAUCGCAAUGCUGGCAGUUGCUGUCAGCGGACAGUGCCGAGGACGGGGUGUCCGAUGCAUCAGAGAUAGACAGUGUUGUUCAGGCCUGUGUCGUCGGGCCAGUUGUGCCUAAAUGAAGAACCAUUGGCGCGAAGCACGAAUCCUCAAAGAUGUUCAGGUAAUCGAUAAAUGCAAUGACUUGACGACAAUCGGAGCAAAUUUGGUUCGGCUGAAAUAUCUGAUAGCCGCUUAUCUCCAGGAUUUUUUAUUUGUAAUUUUCCAUAAUUGUGAUACAGAACUGUUCUCUAUUCAAAUGCAAUGGAAAAAUAUACAUUUAUAUGGUAUAUAA